GGGGAUGACUGGCUUCGACAGGGCCGUAGGUACAUAGUUUGCAAGCCGUGGUUGCCCAGACCACGUAAAAAGGGGCAACACUAUAACUGGCGAAGAAAAUCUCGCCCUCGCCGCUUAAUCUAGUGGCGACGCCCUACCAGUCCGCACCCUGACCGGACUGGCACCGGGCGACACCUAGUUGGGGUGCUACUCGCCGGAACACCGAAUAAGGCGAGUCCAAGACUAUUCGGUAAUCGAUCCGGAAAUCCUGUCGGUGGGAGUUCCGGAUUGAAACAAAACACCGACUAAGCUUGUAGCAGAUCUAUGGCUCAAGGUUCUGGACGGGGGUUCGAUUCCCCCCAUCUCCACCA
rnacentral:tmRNA from 1 species